rnacentral:rRNA from 1 species
GGUUACUGCUAUCGGUGUUCGCCUAAGCCAUGCGAGUCAUAUGUUCGUAAGAACAUGGCGUACUGCUCAGUAACACGUGGAUAACCUGCCCUUGGGUCCGGCAUAACCCCGGGAAACUGGGGAUAAUUCCGGAUAACGCACAUAUGCUGGAAUGCUUUCUGCGUAAAGUGGAUUCGUCUGCCCAAGGAUGGGUCUGCGGCCUAUCAGGUAGUAGUGGGUGUAAUGUACCUACUAGCCUACGACGGGUACGGGUUGUGAGAGCAAGAGCCCGGAGAUGGAUUCUGAGACAUGAAUCCAGGCCCUACGGGGCGCAGCAGGCGCGAAAACUUUACAAUGCGGGAAACCGUGAUAAGGGGACACCGAGUGCCAGCAUCCUAUGCUGGCUGUCCGGGUGUGUAAAAUACACCUGUUAGCAAGGGCCGGGCAAGACCGGUGCCAGCCGCCGCGGUAACACCGGCGGCCCGAGUGGUGAUCGUGAUUAUUGGGUCUAAAGGGUCCGUAGCCGGUUUGGUCAGUCCUCCGGGAAAUCUGACAGCUUAACUGUUAGGCUUUCGGAGGAUACUGCCAGACUUGGAACCGGGAGAGGUAAGAGGUACUACAGGGGUAGGAGUGAAAUCUUGUAAUCCCUGUGGGACCACCUGUGGCGAAGGCGUCUUACCAGAACGGGUUCGACGGUGAGGGACGAAAGCUGGGGGCACGAACCGGAUUAGAUACCCGGGUAGUCCCAGCCGUAAACGAUGCUCGCUAGGUGUCAGGCAUGGCGCGACCGUGUUUGGUGCCGCAGGGAAGCCGUGAAGCGAGCCACCUGGGAAGUACGGCCGCAAGGCUGAAACUUAA